rnacentral:pre_miRNA from 15 species
GCGGCGCUCCCACCUUCCCGUCCUGCCUUUUUCCUAUGCAUAUACUUCUUUGAGGGUCUGGUCCAAAGAGGUAUAGCGCAUAGGACAACGGCGCGGCGGUCCCCUGCGAGCCGGAGCC